GCUCGCGUCUGCGCAGAGGUGAGCGUGGUCUCCGGCGUGUGGAGCGGGCGCACCUCGGGACCCGGGGACCCGGGGACCCGGGGACCCGGGGAUGCAGGGAUCCCGGGCCCGGCAGCCGUCUCCCCGCCGGGGCUUCCGGUUCCCCAUCACCUCACGGAAACUCAGUCUCCAGGACGGUUCUCGAAGAGCCAGUUUAUUAAUUACAACAAAGGCAUAAACAACUUAGACGCCAAAGUCCGGCUGAGGAGAGAAACGGACGGGUGAGGAUGGUUGUCCGGGACCGGGCUGUGCUCACGGACGAGACGGCGUGACCUGGUCAGUCAGGGCUGGGAAGUCACACGGAAACGCCCUCCUCUCGGUCCGAGUGUGAGCGGCCGCCCCGCACGGACCGCCGAGGCCCGGCUGCGGCUGCGGGCGCGCGAGGGAUGCUCGGGCCGGAGGCGGCGGGGCCAGCCGGCGGCCUGGGCGCUGUCGGCACCUCCGCGGGCCGCGCCGGUCACCGCUCGAGGCCCGCCCCGCCCGGGGCUCGGCCGUGGCAACUCGGCGGCACUGACCGCACCGCACCGCGCGAGCGACUCUCGGGCCUAAGCGUCUGCAGACAUUCGUGUUGCGGAAGAGGAGACACGAAACAGUGAACGAAAACGAGCUGCUGGCAUCACUUUCCCCACAAUAUUACAUAAAAACGGACAGCACGUUAAAUAAACAUUUUGUUAUUAAUCAUUAAAUAUAUGAACACCGACAAUCAUGUAUAAAUUAGGAAAUAGAUGUACAAACUAUUUCACAAAGUGCUUUUAAAAAUAUAUACACAACAUUCAAGAAAUUCUUAAUGUAAGACAUUUCAGAUUGAAGUUUCGGGAUAAGUUUUUUUAAGUGUCCUUUUCCUUCAAAAAGUAUUAAUACAGCACUUAAAAAAAACAAACACACAUACACACACAUAAAAGGCAUAUUCCCAGAUUGGCAAGGAAUAAAAAUAAACUAUUUUCACAGUUCUCUGAAAUGCUUAACAUUUUCAACGGGAAAAUUUAAUCCCCGACGGAGUUUGCAAAUUCUAUGAAAAUUGUCAGGAAAGAACAGGACAAAAUCAAGGGAAAUGACUCCCUAAAUGAAAUUACUAAUGUCUGUGUCAUUUAGCGGUUAAGGACUCUCAUUUCAAUAAUUUAAUACAGAGAUGUAUUUUUAAGCCCUUACCAGUGUUAAGGGUUUCUAAAAACCCGUAUGUCUACAAAAUAAACACUUCUAUCCCAAUGCAUGUGUGAUUCUGUCUCCACAGAGGAGGGGAGAAGGUCCUAGAACAGGACUUCUACUCGUCCCGCCCCUUCUUUCCUCUGAGCCGUAGUGCUUCAUCUGCAAAACAGCAACAAAAACUGACGCAAAUCACAGAAGAUGCCUCCCACCCCCCCCCCCCCCCCAUCGAGGCACAGGAAGAGGCUGCCAUCCAGGGGCUGUGCACACGUGUCCAGCUGCGGUGCGGACAGUGAAAGACAAGUUUACAACCCACGGUGCGACAGUGCAGGAGGAGUGUCAGCCCUAAGGUCUGUUUAUACAAGUACGUGGACUAUGGCCUCCUGUAGGUGUCCCAUCACUGGGCACAGAACACUCUGAUGACAAAAGGACCCCUAAAGCUAGCUAGAAACACGGCGGGGGGGGGGGAGGCGGACAAAAAGGGACAACCUCUCCGUGUAUGGACGUACAAUACUAUACACAGCACCAAAUAUGUCACACCAUCAAAGCGCUGUCUUGCACCGGCGGUGCACGCUCGGCGUCCUACCCCACGUGAAAUGUGCACGCUUCACAUGCAGACGCUGCGUGGGGUGAAGGGGCAGCCCGCAGGUCACAGCUCAUCAGAACUGUCACUGGCCUGUCCAUCCCAGACAGACAUGCCGCUGCAAGCCUCCAUAAGAAUGUUUGUCCUUUACUGCUGGUAAUUUCCGUACUGGCCCUGCAAGAGACCAAGACACAGAUUACACCCCAACAGUCCUGCAUAAGAGGGUCCACGCCCAAGGGUAAGACAGACUCCCGCCCCCCCCGCCAACACCCAGGAUGAGAGGUGGAGGGAACAUAAAAGGCAAGCGACCAAACAGCCUCUGCCUGUUUCCACGAGGCAGGCAGAUAAGCGGCCGUCCAGAAGCCACUCUCCAGGCUGCAGCGACUGAUUUAGGUCAGAGGGUGGAAGAGGCUGGUUCACCCAGUCACACAGCAGCUCACUGUGCUGGGCCUGGUCCAGGUGCCUCAAGUCACGUCCCCACCCUGAGCCUGCUGUGAACAGGUCUGUGACGGGCUCCCUCAGCCACAAACGACAUUGGCACCACUUCCGGCACACUUGGGAACAUUCCACACUGCUCUCUUCAAGGUCAAAAAGGUUUCCUCCUUAAUUACCCUGCCCUGGGCUUGUUCACUCGUGUUGAAAACUCAUCCUCUAAGUAUGACUGGUUCAUGAUCUCUCUUUAGAGAGCAGGGUGAGAAGCAUUUAAAAGAAUAAAAUACAGGACCUUCCUAUUCAGGUACCUGAGAAAAACACCCGUCA